rnacentral:lncRNA from 1 species
UUCCGACGGUGAUCAGAUUGCGGCGAUCUACUACCCGCACAAAGGUAUUGUGUUCUGAACACAUUACAGUAAAGUGUUUACUGUUCGAAUUUGAAUUUCAAAUUUAAAUGAAUGUAUGCUAUAUAUCAUAUUUAGAUCCUAGUGUAGGAUAAAUUUAUGCUAAUUAAUUAGAUUAAUUAAUAUUUUUCUGUUGUAAAAUCAU